rnacentral:rRNA from 1 species
CCUACGGGUGGCUGCAGUGGGGAAUUUUCCGCAAUGGGCGCAAGCCUGACGGAGCAAUACCGCGUGAGGGAAGACGGCUUUUGGGUUGUAAACCUCUUUUAUUGGGGAAGAAGAUCUGACGGUACCCAAUGAAUCAGCAUCGGCUAACUCCGUGCCAGCAGCCGCGGUAAUACGGAGGAUGCAAGCGUUAUCCGGAAUUAUUGGGCGUAAAGCGUCCGCAGGUGGUUGUGCAAGUCUGUUGUCAAAGCGUGGGGCUCAACUCCAUGUCGGCGAUG